rnacentral:precursor_RNA from 1 species
AUCCUACCGACUGCGCCAAUUACGUAUGCUGUAGCCGGAGGAUGC